rfam:Perkinsus marinus ATCC 50983 gcontig_1104296521570, whole genome shotgun sequence.
GCUCUGGUGGCUCAAUCGGAUAGAGCGUUAGACUUCUAGUCCAAAGGUUGCGGGUUCAAGUCCCGCCCAGAGUA